UACGUAGGGUGCAAGCGUUGUCCGGAAUUAUUGGGCGUAAAGAGCUCGUAGGCGGUCUGUCGCGUCUGCUGUGAAAACUCAGGGCUUAACCCUGAGCUUGCAGUGGGUACGGGCAGACUAGAGGUGCGGUAGGGGGAGACUGGAAUUCCGUGGGUGUAGCGGUGAAAUGCGCAGAUAUCAGGAGGAACACCCGGGUGGGCGAAGGGCGGGGUCU
rnacentral:rRNA from 1 species